UCUAAUAUGGCAGAUAAGUGCGGUAGAUUUAAGCUCUACAUAUAAAGUUAAAACAACUUUUAUUAGAA
rnacentral:tRNA from 1 species